rnacentral:rRNA from 1 species
UACGUAGGGGGCAAGCGUUGUCCGGAAUUAUUGGGCGUAAAGAGCGCGUAGGCGGUCCGAUAAGUCGGCUGUGAAAGUCAUGGGCUCAACCCAUGAAAGCCGGCCGAUACUGUCGGACUAGAGUCCGGAAGAGGCAAGUGGAAUCCCGGUGUAGCGGUGAAAUGCGCAGAUAGUCGGGAGGAACACCAAUGGCGAAGGCAGCUUGCUGGGACGGUACUGACGCUGAGG